ensembl:Y_RNA Y_RNA Y RNA
GGCUGGUCCAAGUGCAGUGGUGUUUACAACUAAUUGAUCACAACCAGUUACAGAUUUCUUUGUUCCUUCUCCACUCCCACUACUUCACUUGACUAGCCUUUA